CUUCAAACAGGAUCGUGACUCGAAUUCCCCCCGUUGAUACGUCUCCCUCGCUUUCUGGUAUCCUUUUGUAGCAGAUUGUUCGAUGUUAAUCUUUGGAAAACAAAUAAUACACGACAAAUUACACCAGAUUCUUAUUGAUUUAACAUCGGUCAAAUAUGGAGUCAAGGAUAAAAUUUUAUGGAUGAACUGAUGAUCAAAAAAUAGUAUCAUUGUGAAAAGUAAAAAUAAAAUAGAGCAUGUCUUGGGAAAAUUAAUAAUAAAUUAAAGCAUCAUUACGAAGAAAACGUUAAGAAAAAAGAUGCUCAAAGAUGAUAUUUUAAUUAACAAAAAAAAAAGCAUCUGUUUACAAACUUUAUGAAGAUUACAAAAGUAUUUCAUAAUUUCACUUUCAUCUUGAAAAUUCAAUUUCUAUAAUGAACCAUGUAAAUUAUUACUGCUAAUUAAUUGCGGAAUUCUGGUGCACGAUUCUGAUGUUUUUACAACUCAUCUAUAAUUAAGAAGACAUUUUUUAUAGUACCAUAAAACUCAAGCAGUAUUUAUGGAACAUUAACUUCACUCAUUGACUAAAAUUUCAAUUCACCAUCAUAAAAUGAUGUGCUGCUGAAACAUUUUAAAUGGAGGCAUACCAAAAAUAGUAUUGUUAGCUAAAAGGAAAUCAUGACGGUUCGCGUGCAAUACUGGUGUCUGGAUGAAUCUUGAGACGUGUCUGAUCGCCAGGGGAUCCGCAUAUUUAUCUUAGCCUUCUUCGAAACCAUCGUCGAAUUUGGUUAUCUUUCCUUUCUUAUAUUCUCUGUUUACAAGAUCCAACCAGUGAAACAUCUAGGAGACUAAAAGGUCGAAGAGAGAAAGAGACAAAGAAAAGUGCAUAAAAGGAAUGUAAGAGAAGGGUAACGCUAAACCCAAAGGGACGUAAAAGAAUUCUCCACAAGAAAAGGCAAAGUGAAACGACCAAAAGAGAUUCGAGGAAAAAGUUUUAUACCGCGAAUCUCUACAACAAUUAAUUUAAUACGAUACGUUCUGCCAAGGUAGAUUACGAUAAGCCAUUGAACCUGUAAGGAUUGAAGUGUAGGAUAAGUCGUUUAAUAAAUUCGAUGAGUUUACAUGGGCGGUCACUUGAAGAAUGAGUUUGAUAGCUUUGGUAUCUUGACCAAACUCUCGUCUCAUGUAUCCUCACGUCAUUGCUAGUCAUUGCUAACUACAAGCUAUGUAACAUUUCAAUCAAAAUCUUUAUAAGUAGCUUUUUUAUGGUAAAUUUGACAACUUCUUUCAUCACAUUUUGUUAUUUAUGUGAUUCAUUUAAAUAAUUUAUUAUUUUAAUCGCGUCUUUAAUGUUAUAUUUAUGAAAUGCUAUUUUUUUUCUUUCAAGUCAUUUUCUUUCGCAAAAAAUUGUGCAGCAAUAAGACUUUAAAGAUGUUUAUUUUUGCAUGAUAUACAGCUAUGUUUAAAAAGUUAUUAUGAUCAUAUUUUUAAAUAACGAUAAAUAUUUUGAACAAUUUUAAUAGAAUAACGUAAAAUUAUAAAUAAUUGAGUUAUAAA